rnacentral:rRNA from 1 species
AUUGAACGCUGGCGGCAGGCCUAACACAUGCAAGUCGAACGAGUGCCGGACGGGUGAGUAAUUUCUGGGAAACUGCCUGAUGGAGGGGGAUCACUACUGGAAACGGUAGCUAAUACCGCCUACCAUCGGAUGUGCCCCGAUGGGAUUAGCUAGUAGGUGGGGUAACGGCUCACCUAGGCGACGAUCCCGAGCUGGUCUGAUAGGAUGACCAGCCACACUGUAACUGAGACACGGUCCAGACUCCGACGGGAGGCAGCAGUGGGGAAUAUUGCGCAAUGGGCGCAAGCCUGAUACAGCCAUGCCGCGUGUAUGAAGAAGGCCUUCGGGUUGUAAAGUACUUUCAGCGGGGAGGCGUUACCCGCAGAAGAAGCACCGGCUUACUCCGUGCCAGCAGCCGCGGUAAUAC